UACGGAGGAUCCUAGCGUUAUCCGGAUUUACUGGGUUUAAAGGGUGCGUAGGCGGGCCCCUCAGUCAGCGGUGAAAGUCUGCGGCUCAACCGUAGGAUUGCCGUUGAUACUGGGGGUCUUGAAUUCGGUCAAGGUGGGCGGAAUGCGUGGUGUAGCGGUGAAAUGCUUAGAUAUCACGCAGAACGCCGAUAGCGAAGGCAGCUCACCGGGCCGACAUUGACGCUGAGGCACGAAAGCGUGGGGAUCAAACAGG
rnacentral:rRNA from 1 species